UGGGGAAUUUUGGACAAUGGGGAAACCCUGAUCCAGCCAUCCCGCGUGUGCGAUGAAGGCCUUCGGAUUGUAAAGCACUUUUGGCAGGAAAGAAACGUCGCGGGUUAAUACCCCGCGGAACUGACGGUACCUGCAGAAUAAGCACCGGCUAACUACGUGCCAGCAGCCGCGGUAAUACGUAGGGUGCAAGCGUUAAUCGGAAUUACUGGGCGUAAAGCGUGCGCAGGCGGUUCGGAAAGAAAGAUGUGAAAUCCCAGAGCUUAACUUUGGAACUGCAUUUUUAACUACCGGGCUAGAGUGUGUCAGAGGGAGGUGGAAUUCCGCGUGCAGCAGUGAAAUGCGUAGAUAUGCGGAGGAACACCGAUGGCGAAGGCAGCCUCCUGGGAUAACACUGACGCUCAUGCACGAAAGCGUGGGGAGCAAACAGGAUUAGAUACCCUGGUAGUCCACGCCCUAAACGAUGUCAACUAGCUGUUGGGGUCUUCGGACCUUGGUAGCGCAGCUAACGCGUGAAGUUGACCGCCUGGGGAGUACGGUCGCAAGAUU
rnacentral:rRNA from 1 species